rnacentral:rRNA from 1 species
AUUGAACGCUGGCGGCAUGCUUUACACAUGCAAGUCGAACGGCAGCGCGGGGGCAACCCUGGCGGCGAGUGGCGAACGGGUGAGUAAUGUAUCGGAACGUAUCCUGUAAUGGGGGAUAACCAGUCGAAAGAUUGGGUAAUACCGCAUACGCACGAGAGUGGAAAGUAGGGGAUCGCAAGACCUUACGUUAUAGGAGCGGCCGAUAUCUGAUUAGCUAGUUGGUGAGGUAACGGCUCACCAAGGCGACGAUGCGUAGCCGACCUGAGAGGGUGAUCGGCCACAUUGGGACUGAGACACGGCCCAGACUCCUACGGGAGGCAGCAGUGGGGAAUAUUGCACAAUGGGGGAAACCCUGAUGCAGCAACGCCGCGUGAGUGAUGACGGCCUUCGGUUGUAAGACGUCUGUCUUCAGGGACGAUAAUGAGGUACCUGAGGAGGAAGCACGGCUAACUAACGUGCCAGCAGCCGCGGUAAGUAGUCACGUCGCG